rnacentral:rRNA from 1 species
AGUGAACGCUGGCGGUAGGCCUAACACAUGCAAGUCGAACGGCAGCACAGUAAGAGCUUGCUCUUACGGGUGGCGAGUGGCGGACGGGUGAGGAAUACAUCGGAAUCUACUUUUUCGUGGGGGAUAACGUAGGGAAACUUACGCUAAUACCGCAUACGACCUACGGGUGAAAGCAGGGGAUCUUCGGACCUUGCGCGAUUGAAUGAGCCGAUGUCGGAUUAGCUAGUUGGCGGGGUAAAGGCCCACCAAGGCGACGAUCCGUAGCUGGUCUGAGAGGAUGAUCAGCCACACUGGAACUGAGACACGGUCCAGACUCCUGCGGGAGGCAGCAGUGGGGAAUAUUGGACAAUGGGCGCAAGCCGGAUCCAGCCAUACCGCGUGGGUGAAGAAGGCCUUCGGGUUGUAAAGCCCUGUUGUUGGGAAAGAAAAGCAGCAGGUUAAUACCCCGCUGUUCUGACGGUACCCAAAGAAUAAGCACCGGCUAACUUCGUG